UACGUAGGGUCCGAGCGUUGUCCGGAAUUAUUGGGCGUAAAGAGCUCGUAGGCGGUCUGUCGCGUCUGCUGUGAAAACUCAGGGCUUAACCCUGAGUUUGCAGUGGGUACGGGCAGACUAGAGUGCGGUAGGGGAGACUGGAAUUCCUGGUGUAGCGGUGAAAUGCGUAGAUAUCUGGAGGAACACCGGUGGCGAAGGCGGCAUCCUGGACCGACACUGACGCUGAGGAGCGAAAGCCAGGGGAGCAAACGGG
rnacentral:rRNA from 1 species